GUCAACAACAUGAGAAGCUGACAAGACGUCAAGGGAGAUGUAGGUUGAAAGGUGUCCAUUGGACUCAGUGACAAGGAGCAAGAGCAGUGUUCACGGAGCUCGUGUCCAGCUGCAUUUGGGUUGAGGAACGAGUGAGAGAGAUAAGGAAGUGCAGGCAUUUCAUCUGAAUCCAACUCUAAUAUUAUUUAAACAAGACUAUAAAGCAUUAUUCCAUAACAACGAACUUGAUUCUCUCCUCUCAGUCAACAGAUCAUCAGAUGUGUAAGGAACUGCCCCUUUGACUUGAGAAUUCCACUUCUAGAAAUUUUUCUCAAGGAGGUGAGGACCAGGAAUUCGGUGUUUCUGGGACACAUUUAUCCCGUCGUAUAUUUGGGGGCCUCCAAGGACUGGCGACAGCAGCCAUGUCCCCGCCUCUGCUCACUGCGACCACCAGCAAAUCCACCUCUAAAGCUGCAGAGAGGACUGUAGAUGCAGAAGAGCUAAGGCGUCACGUCACAAACAGCACUAUCUUCCCAGCACACUCCAACCUCCC